AUUGCGUCGUCCCCCCCCAACCCCCUCACCCGUGGUGUCCUGCUGCAUGCAAGGGUCGCGGGCCUUAGCGUGGGGGCGGAAGUUGGCUUCCCGUGCAGUGUUUGCGGCUAGCCUGAAACACGGUUCCCUCGCCGCGGACGUCGCGACAAGUGGUGGUCGCCGAGAUUGUACGCGAGUUGCCGGCAAGCUGCGUCGAGGGGAGCAUUUCGGACCCUGUGCGAGAUUGAGCCCUUCACCGAGGGGCAUCUCCAACGACUGCGACCCCAGGUCAGGC
rnacentral:rRNA from 1 species